AGGGAUGCAUGCACAUGUUUUGAGAGUUCAAAGUGGUGAGGAUAGAACCACUGAAUCUUUUGUGUAGAGGACAUUUUCAGAUGUCCUGCACAAGUCAGCAAGGAUGUUCUCUGCAUGGACAGACCUGGUGGCACAGGGUGCCAUCUUACCUGAGGAACAGCUUGGGACCAUAGCCUUAAACCUGAAGCCACUGAAAACUGGAGGAUUGUGAUGGGGACAUCACUGUGGCCAGGACGUUACCUGAGCAGCUGCAGGAGAAUGUCAGACAUCCAGAGUGGCUCCUGCUGGUCCAUGUGGCUGUGUCUUCUACAGCACUCUUGGAUACCGAUGGCUUCACGUCCAGAUAGAUUGUUGUACAUGCUCUACCACAACUAACAAAGGCAUGCAGAUGAUCACUGAGUAACAGUGAGAAAAGUCAAGUUUCUGCUCAUGGCCAACAUAUUUUCCUUAAAAUAGGAGCUGCCUGUGGUAGUGCUGAGUGUGGAAAGUUUCUUAUUGAUGUCUUGUGCCGCUUUAGAUGCAACAAUAAUCAGUCUUCCUUUCAAUAAUUCAGCAGCCUAACGUCCCGAUCAAUGACUGCAUCUCUCUACAGUGUGAAAGACAGGACAUAUUCAACCUUUUACUGAUACUUUGUUUACAGGAUGGCUUGGUCACAGGUGUGUUUGUUCAAUUGUACUGACUUCCUGAUUUAGAGUACUUGCUGACUUAGUGCCAGUACAACUCAAUAAGGGGUAUGAGACAAGAGAAGCC